GAGCGGCGAACGGGUGAGUAACACGUGAGUAACCUGCCCUAGGCUUUGGGAUAACCCUCGGAAACGGGGGCUAAUACCGGAUAUUCAUGCUGGACGGCAUCGUCUGGUGUGGAAAGUUUUUCGGCCUGGGAUGGGCUCGCGGCCUAUCAGCUUGUUGGUGGGGUGAUGGCCUACCAAGGCGACGACGGGUAGCCGGCCUGAGAGGGCGACCGGCCACACUGGGACUGAGACACGGCCCAGACUCCUACGGGAGGCAGCAGUGGGGAAUAUUGCACAAUGGGCGGAAGCCUGAUGCAGCGACGCCGCGUGAGGGAUGAAGGCCUUCGGGUUGUAAACCUCUUUCGACAGGGACGAAGCGUGAGUGACGGUACCUGGAGAAGAAGCGCCGGCCAACUACGUGCCAGCAGCCGCGGUAAGACGUAGGGCGCGAGCGUUGUCCGGAUUUAUUGGGCGUAAAGAGCUCGUAGGCGGCUUGUUGCGUCAGCUGUGAAAACCCGCAGCUCAACUGUGGGCUUGCAGCUGAUACGGGCAGGCUUGAGUUCGGUAGGGGAGACUGGAAUUCCU
rnacentral:rRNA from 1 species